rnacentral:rRNA from 1 species
AGAGUUUGAUCCUGGCUCAGGAUGAACGCUAGCGGCAGGCCUAAUACAUGCAAGUCGGACGGGAUUGGGGGCUUGCCCCCAUGAGAGUGGCGCACGGGUGCGUAACACGUAUGUAACCUACCCUUAUCUGGGGGAUAGCCUCUCGAAAGAGAGAUUAACACCGCAUAAAAUCACAGUACGGCAUUGUACAAUGAUCAAAUAUUUAUAGGAUAGGGAUGGGCAUGCGGGACAUUAGCUAGUUGGCGGGGUAACGGCCCACCAAGGCUACGAUGUUUAGGGGAUCUGAGAGGAUGGCCCCCCACACUGGUACUGAGACACGGACCAGACUCCUACGGGAGGCAGCAGUAAGGAAUAUUGGUCAAUGGAGGCAACUCUGAACCAGCCAUGCCGCGUGCAGGAAGACAGCCCUAUGGGUCGUAAACUGCUUUUAUACCGGAAUAAACCCCUUUACGUGUAAAGGGUUGAAUGUACGGUAGGAAUAAGGAUCGGCUAACUCCGUGCCAGCAGCCGCGGUAAUACGGAGGAUCCAAGCGUUAUCCGGAUUUAUUGGGUUUAAAGGGUGCGUAGGCGGCCUGUUAAGUCAGGGGUGAAAUUUUCCGGCUCAACCGGGACAUUGCCUUUGAUACUGACGGGCUUGAAUGCAGCUGAGGUAGGCGGAAUGUGACAAGUUAGCGGUGAAAUGCAUAGAUAUGUCACAGAAGCACC